rnacentral:rRNA from 1 species
UGCAAGUCGUGCGAGAAAGUCACCUUCGGGUGGUGAGUAAAGCGGCGAACGGGUGAGUAACACGUAAGAAACCUGCCCCUAAAUCCGGAAUAACAUUGCUAACGCGGUGCUAAUACCGGAUGUGGUCUCCAGUUUGCAUGAACAGGAGAUUAAAGGUGACCUCUACUUGUAAGUUAUCGUUUAGGGAUGGUCUUGCGGACCAUUAGCUUGUUGGCGGGGUAACGGCCCACCAAGGCUGCGAUGGUUAGCCGGCUUAAGAGGGUGAUCGGCCACAUUGGGACUGAGAUACGGCCCAGACUCCUACGGGAGGCAGCAGUAGGGAAUUUUGCGCAAUGGACGAAAGUCUGACGCAGCAACGCCGCGUGAGCGAUGAAGGUUUUCGGAUUGUAAAGCUCUGUUGAGUGGGAAGAAAACUCUCCGGGAUAAUACCCCGGAGACUUGACGGUACCACUCGAGGAAGCCCCGGCUAAAUACGUGCCAGCAGCCGCGGUAAUACGUAUGGGGCAAGCGUUGUUCGGAAUCACUGGGCGUAAAGGGAGUGUAGGCGGAAAGGUAAGUUAGAAGUGUAAUCCACGGGACUUAGCCGUGACUCGCUUUGAAUACUGCUUAACUUGAGUAUGGGAGAGGGAGAUGGAAUUCCAGGUGUAACGGUGAAAUGCGUAG